GAUGAAGAACGCAGCGAAAUGCGAUAAGUAAUGUGAAUUGCAGAAUUCAGUGAAUCAUCGAGUCUUUGAACGCACAUUGCGCCCCCUGGUAUUCCGGGGGGCAUGCCUGUCCGAGCGUCAUUGCCGCCCUCAAGCACGGCUUGUGAGUUGGGCCCCCGCCCCCCGGCUUCGGGGGGCGGGCCCGAAAGGCAGCGGCGGCACCGCGUCCGGUCCUCGAGCGUAUGGGGCUUCGUCACCCGCUCUGUAGGCCCGGCCGGCGCCCGCCGGCGACCCCAAUCAAUCUUUCCAGGUUGACCUCGGAUCAGGUAGGGAUACCCGCUGAACUUAAGCAUAUCAAUAAGCGGAGGA
rnacentral:misc_RNA from 1 species